AUUGAACGCUGGCGGCGUGCUUAACACAUGCAAGUCGUACGCGAAAGGGACUUCGGUCCCGAGUAAAGUGGCGCACGGGUGAGUAACACGUGGAUAAUCUGCCUCUAUGAUGGGGAUAACAGUUGGAAACGACUGCUAAUACCGAAUACGCUCAUGAUGAACUUUAUGAGGAAAGGUGGCCUCUGCUUGCAAGCUAUCGCAUAGAGAUGAGUCCGCGUCCCAUUAGCUAGUUGGUGGGGUAACGGCCUACCAAGGCAACGAUGGGUAGCCGAUUUGAGAGGAUGAUCGUCCACACUGGAACUGAAACACGGGCCAGACUCCUACGGGAGGCAGCAGUGGGGAAUAUUGCGCAAUGGGCGAAAGCCUGACGCAGCGACGCCGCGUGAGGGAUGAAGGUCUUCGGAUCGUAAACCUCUGUCAGAAGGGAAGAAACUAGGGUGCUCUAAUCAUCAUCCUACUGACGGUACCUUCUAAGGAAGCACCGGCUAACUCUGUGCCAGCCGCCGCCGUAAUAC
rnacentral:rRNA from 1 species